CAUUUGGGUUCGUUCGAAACCGGAGGGAACGGUUUCCAACCCCCGUCCACCCGAGCCCUGAUCGCAGCGGGUCUUCCCCUCGGCGCUGCGGCAUUUUCCUCGCGAACAGCGGCUAUAGGCGAACGGCGGCGGGGUCUCCCUCCGGAGAUCAUUUCCUCGAAUCUUCGACGUGAAACAUAAUCUGUGUUGGGGUGAGGGAUUCGUGGUCGUCAGCAGAGGGAGGGCACAUUCCAGUAGUGCAAUCAUGGAUGUUGAUUCACAGCCAAACAUAGAAGAAACAAUUCUAGUAGGUGAUGACCUUAUGCUGGGGCUCCCUUCACCUAUUAUUCCACCGGAGAUUGCAUCUCAUGUUCUUGAAGGUGUUGAUUUAUGUGAUGGAGUGCUAAGGAAUCUUUUUUUAUGCUUGCAAAUCAAUGAUAUUGAACCAUUUUGCCAAGAUGAGAUUGUUUUGUAUCGAGAGUGUGCUGAGAAAAGGGAUAAAGAGUUAAGACAGAGACUUUCAGAUAGUGAACAUAAAUUGGGGCUGUCCAUGCCCAUUGAAGAAGCAAAGGAAAGAGCUGCUCAACUUCAAUCAGAAGUUACAUCUCUAGAAAGGCACAUGAUUCUUGCAAGUGGAAUUCAAGGCAUGGAAGGAUUUCGUCAGCGCUGGAGCUUGCAUGGACGUCUUGAGGAUACCAAAAGAAGAAUGGAAGCUUUAAACCAGGGAAUAGAAAAGAGGAAACCUGACAAGAUCCACGGAGAGCCAGUUAGAAAAAAAUGGUUUUUUUGGUAGAUUUUUUUGCUCUCUUGAGAUUUCUGAUUCUCAAGAAGAAGGUGUAGAAACAGGACUUCCUGAUAGACUCUGAAGGCCCACUUCACCUUCCACCGAAGAACCGAGUCAACUCUAAGCAAAUCUUCACUGCUGGAAAGGGUGCCUCCACCACCAACCCUAACCAAACAUCAUAACAAUGGCUCCUAAUUCCUACAAAUAAUGCAAUAGGUGGAGGCGACGCCGGUGAAGAGGCUGUGCAGGACCCACAACAUCAUCACAGUCAACGGCCAGUCAGUAACCCGGCAUGACGCGGGCGACGCUCGUGGUCAACGGUUGACGUCAACGGGGCUAAGUACCACGUCACGCUUCACGUGCCGGUUCACGAUCGAGGAGCACGAAGGCACGGUGUGGUGGUGGCACGCACACAGCUCCUGGCUGAGAGCCACCCUGCACGGCGCUUUCGUCAUCCACCCUAAACACAGCUGCUCCUACCCUUUCCCCAAGCCCAACAAAGAGUUCCCCCCCUUAUCCCCGGUAAUAUUCCUCUUCCUCUUCUGGUUCAAGGUGGUCGUAACUCUGCAAACACAUGGUUGCAUGGCCACACCAAGUCCUUGACUGUGACGUAAAGAAGAGGAGACUGACCUUGCAUGAUAACACAACUCUGAAACCUGAUCUGUCUCAUGCCUUCACCGUCAAUGGCCUGCCGGCGAUCUCUAAAGAGGAAGAGUACUUUGGUCUCUCUUCCUUAUCUCAACUCUUGCAAUGGAGACAUCUCAAGCAACCAGUGAGCCCGUUCCUUCUUCCCAACUUGUCAACAAGCGAAGCCUGCUGAGCUCUCUUAUGGAAGCCACAGCCACGGCUGCCUCCACCAUCCCUGACCGACCCCCUUCGAUCAAGGAGGACACCUACCCCCUAUCCACCAAGUCCUCCGAGCAUAAGGCACUUUGGGAACCCACGCUCAUCUCCAAGAUGAGGCGCAGGACAUGCUGGUGCGGUGCGCGGAGUGGCAACGAGAGUUUGACGUCGAUAGGGCGGCCGGGGAGGAGCUGGUGGGGUUCAAGAAGCUGGAGGGCAUGGUGGCGUAGCUGGGACCGGCAGCCACCCAUGUGCUACAAGCAUCUUUAGGGGUAAGAUCGUGUAAGAGCACGAGCAACGCCGAGAAGCUACAAUGCUUUCUGAUAGAAGCUCGUGAUAUAAAGAAAUAUGGGAUGAUAAAUUUAUAUUUAUUACAUAUUCUAAUCCUCCAUCAAUCUAUAAUUUUAGAA